UACGGAGGAUCCAAGCGUUAUCCGGAUUCAUUGGGUUUAAAGGGUGCGUAGGCGGAAUGAUAAGUCAGUGGUGAAAUCCUUCAGCUUAACUGGAGAACUGCCAUUGAUACUGUCAAUCUUGAGUACAUUUGAUGUGGGCGGAAUGUGUCAUGUAGCGGUGAAAUGCUUAGAUAUGACACAGAACACCGAUUGACGAAGGCAGCUCACAAAACUGUAACUGACGCUGAGGCACGAAAGCGUGGGUAGUCAAACAGGA
rnacentral:rRNA from 1 species